GGGGUGAAGUCGUAACAAGGUAGCCGUAUCGGAAGGUGCGGCUGGAUCCCCUCCUUUCUAAGGAGA
rnacentral:rRNA from 1 species